rnacentral:rRNA from 1 species
AUUGAACGCUGGCGGAAUGCUUUACACAUGCAAGUCGAGCGGCAGCGCGGGGCAACCUGGCGGCGAGCGGCGAACGGGUGAGUAACGGAUCGGAACGUAUCCUGAAAUGGGGGAGUAGCCCGGCGAAAGACCGGAUUAAUACCGCAUACGAUCUCAGGAUGAAAGACAGGGGACCGGCAAGGCCUUGCGUUCUGGAGCGGCCGAUCUCUGAUUAGCUAGUUGG